rnacentral:rRNA from 1 species
CAGCUAGUUGGUGGGGUAAAGGCCCACCAAGGCUACGAUCAGUAGCUGGUCUGAGAGGAUGAUCAGCCACACUGGGACUGAGACACGGCCCAGACUCCUACGGGAGGCAGCAGUAGGGAAUCUUGCGCAAUGGGCGAAAGCCUGACGCAGCCAUGCCGCGUGAAUGAUGAAGGUCUUAGGAUUGUAAAAUUCUUUCAGCGGGGACGAUAAUGACGGUACCCGCAGAAGAAGCCCCGGCUAACUUCGUGCCAGCAGCCGCGGUAAUACGAAGGGGGCUAGCGUUGCUCGGAAUUACUGGGCGUAAAGGGCGCGUAGGCGGAUGUUUAAGUCAGAGGUGAAAGCCCAGGGCUCAACCUUGGAACUGCCUUUGAUACUGGACAUCUUGAGUAUGGGAGAGGUGAGUGGAACUCCGAGUGUAGAGGUGAAAUUCGUAGAUAUUCGGAAGAACACCAGUGGCGAAGGCGACUCACUGGCCCAUUACUGACGCUGAGGCGCGAAAGCGUGGGGAGCAAACAGGAUUAGAUACCCUAGUAGUCCACGCUGUAAACGAUGAGUGCUAGUUGUCGGCAUGCAUGCAUGUCGGUGACGCAGCUAACGCAUUAAGCACUCCGCCUGGGGAGUACGGUCGCAAGAUUAAA